rnacentral:lncRNA from 1 species
UUCAUUUAGUGAACUCUCUAUUCGGUUCCAACCAGAAAGUGUAUCUAGUGUACUGACAUUAUGACACUAAUGGGGCGAUAGCUCAAGCCUGGGAAUCAAGGUCUCAUCAAGGUCCGAACUCAAAUGAGAGACUGAACCACAUGAUUGAGAAUCAUGUAUAAUGGUGACGUCGAUAAUCUCAAGGUUGCUUCUAUGGAUAACAUAUAGAUAUCCAUUGCCUAGGCCUACUAUUCAGCCAUUUAUGAAAUGACUACAGAAGAGGUAUCAUCACUGAUGACCAAGCUGAUUG